rnacentral:tRNA from 1 species
UCCCUGGUACCUCAGUUGGUAAAGAAUCUGCCUGCAAUUCAGGAGACCCAGGUUUGAUUCCUGGGUUGGGAA